rnacentral:rRNA from 1 species
UGUCGACUUGGAGGUUGUGCCCUUGAGGCGUGGCUUCCGGAGCUAACGCGUUAAGUCGACCGCCUGGGGAGUACGGCCGCAAGGUUAAAACUCAAAUGAAUUGACGGGGGCCCGCACAAGCGGUGGAGCAUGUGGUUUAAUUCGAUGCAACGCGAAGAACCUUACCUGGUCUUGACAUCCACAGAACUUUCCAGAGAUGGAUUGGUGCCUUCGGGAACUGUGAGACAGGUGCUGCAUGGCUGUCGUCAGCUCGUGUUGUGAAAUGUUGGGUUAAGUCCCGCAACGAGCGCAACCCUUAUCCUUUGUUGCCAGCGGUCCGGCCGGGAACUCAAAGGAGACUGCCAGUGAUAAACUGGAGGAAGGUGGGGAUGACGUCAAGUCAUCAUGGCCCUUACGACCAGGGCUACACACGUGCUACAAUGGCGCAUACAAAGAGAAGCGACCUCGCGAGAGCAAGCGGACCUCAUAAAGUGCGUCGUAGUCCGGAUUGGAGUCUGCAACUCGACUCCAUGAAGUCGGAAUCGCUAGUAAUCGUGGAUCAGAAUGCCACGGUGAAUACGUUCCCGGGCCUUGUACACACCGCCCGUCACACCAUGGGAGUGGGUUGCAAAAGAAGUAGGUAGCUUAACCUUCGGGAGGGCGCUUACCACUUUGUGAUUCAUGACUGGGGUGAAGUCGUAACAAGGUAACCGUAGGGGAACCUGCGGUUGGAUCAC